rnacentral:rRNA from 1 species
GUGCCAGCCGCCGCGGUAAUACCGGCAGCCCAAGUGAUGGCCGAUCUUAUUGGGCCUAAAGCGUCCGUAGCUGGCCGCACAAGUCCAUCGGAAAAUCCACCCGCCCAACGGGUGGGCGUCCGGUGGAAACUGUGUGGCUUGGGACCGGAAGGCGCGACGGGUACGUCCGGGGUAGGAGUGAAAUCCCGUAAUCCUGGACGGACCGCCGAUGGCGAAAGCACGUCGCGAGGACGGAUCCGACAGUGAAGGACGAAAG